rnacentral:rRNA from 1 species
GACGUAGGGCGCGAGCGUUGUCCGGAUUUAUUGGGCGUAAAGAGCUCGUAGGCGGCUUGUCGCGUCGAAUGUGAAAACCCACGGCUCAACUGUGGGCUUGCAUUCGAUACGGGCAGGCUAGAGUUCGGUAGGGGAGACUGGAAUUCCUGGUGUAGCGGUGAAAUGCGCAGAUAUCAGGAGGAACACCGGUGGCGAAGGCGGGUCUCUGGGCAUUAACUGACGCUGAGGAGCGAAAGCAUGGGGAGCGAACAGG